GAUGAAGAACGCAGCGAAAUGCGAUAAGUAAUGUGAAUUGCAGAAUUCAGUGAAUCAUCGAAUCUUUGAACGCACAUUGCGCCCGCUAGUAUUCUGGCGGGCAUGCCUGUCCGAGCGUCAUUUCAACCCUCAAGCCCCCGGGCUUGGUGUUGGGGAUCGGCGAGCCUCCGCGCCCGCCGUCCCCUAAAUCUAGUGGCGGUCUCGCUGUAGCUUCCUCUGCGUAGUAGCACACCUCGCACUGGGNNNNAGCGCGGCCACGCCGUUAAACCCCCAACUUCUGAACGUUUGACCUCGGAUCAGGUAGGAAUACCCGCUGAACUUAAGCAUAUCAAUAAGCGGAGGA
rnacentral:misc_RNA from 1 species